GGUAGUAUGGCCGAGUGGUAAGCGCCGACCUUUUUCUCUACUUCCAAACAAAGAAUCCCCCUCUGAUUAGCUUGACUUUGCAGGUUCAAGGCGUCAGACUUAAGUUCUGAUGGGUGUAACGCCCGCCUGGGUUCGAACCCCAGUGCUACCA
rnacentral:tRNA from 1 species